AUCCUCCAAGGCUAAAUACUCCUGACUGACCGAUAGUGAACCAGUACCGUGAGGGAAAGGCGAAAAGAACCCCGGCGAGGGGAGUGAAAAAGAACCUGAAACCGUGUACGUACAAGCAGUGGGAGCACGCUUAGGCGUGUGACUGCGUACCUUUUGUAUAAUGGGUCAGCGACUUAUAUUCUGUAGCAAGGUUAACCGAAUAGGGGAGCCGAAGGGAAACCGAGUCUUAACUGGGCGUUAAGUUGCAGGGUAUAG
rnacentral:rRNA from 1 species